CUGUCACUAUAUUUUGUUUUAUGGGUUAAACGCGUAAAAGUUAAGUUUUCCCACUGAACUGCUGCGCUACUUUCAAUCUACAAACGAGGAAGCACUUGGUAACUUUAAUAAAACGCUGCACUCUCUGUGGUUGCAUUUGUGCAGUUUUCUCACAGAUAUUUCAAUCAUUUUUGCACAGAAUUAGGUUUUACAGAACUGUUAAAUGUUGUAAGAAGUUCAGGUAGAGGUUUGAGGGCCGUGUAGGGCUCAGUCAUGCGUAAUGGGCGGUUUGAGCAAAGAUUAAAGGAAGUAUGCGGUGUCAGUCAGAGAUAGUAAUCCGGUCUUCCUCUUCCUUUUGAAUUUUUUAAGUUAUUGAAUGAGUUUUUCUGAAACACUUUUAUUUGAUGAUGUUUCACCAUUUUCAAAAAAAAGGGGGGAAAAAAAUCAGUGCGCUGUUGCCAUGCGGGCAAAUCAAGCGUCAGCACCAAGUUAUUAUUAUCAGUCCGGAAAAAUGGAUCUUGUGAACUUCGCUGAUCUUUUUAUAGUCUGAUUCUUAUCGGCAUGUGAAGUUUGGGUGGUGAGCGUCAUCUCCUGGAAAGAGUCUUACCAGAAUGCAGUGGGCGUCACUUCACUUAAAUACUUUUAAGAGCUACUAUUCAUGGGAGUCACUGGCAGAUGCUGCGUUCAGGUGCUGUCAGAAACGGUUGUCAGUGAAGACUUUCUGAUGAAGAGGAGGAUGAAGACUGACAAACUGGAUCGCAUCACUUUUCCCCCAGAAUUCUGUUCCUCAUGGAGGUGGGAAGUUCAGGACACAUUUUGGGAAAAUCUGCAGAAGAUUCCCAGGCAUGGAUUGGGCAUGUAAAGCCACCAUUCGUCAGAUCCAGACGGGUGAAGCUGAUGGAACACAACCUGCAUACGUGGGAGGAGAAACACACACAUUUUUAAACUGGGUUUAAAAAUGUGCACCAGUUGGGCUGAGGCGCAGGAUUGAGAAACAGCUUCACCACAGGACUAUCAGGCUGGUUUCCACCACAUUCACCCAUCCUGACAGCCGGUGGGGAAACCACCUCAGCGAUGCUCAUCCGUUGAGAUGUUGCUGAGUCAGUUUGGGGUCAUGACAUCAUCAUCAUGAGAUGGGGAGGCUGGCAAGUGGUGACCACAGGCAGCGACAGAGAGGAGGUGGUGCCUGUGUGUCGUGGUUUGCAGCUGCUGGUUCUGGCCACAAUAUAUUGUGGUGUGGAGUCGCCUCAGGGAAUAAUCUGCCCAAAUGUUGAAAGGAAGUACAAAUUCAAGAGGGUAAAAAGGCAGUGCUGAGGUUUUUUUGGCUUUCCAAACCAUCUUUCCGGCUUGUGGGCUGUUGUGCUGCAAAAUCUCCACACCCAGUGAAGUCAUGCUGAUGCUGUUGAAAUCCCAGCUGGUGGCGAACACACAAGUAAAAGAACUUACUCUCUGAAGUCCUGAGCAUAUUUUAUUUACAGUAUUGCAACUUUAUUUAAAUAUCUCUUAGAGAAAAGCUUAGAAAACCAGUUGAACUGCGGAUGUUUCACAUUUUUCUCUCAUGGCCAUAACUCAGUUUUGUAACAGAAUUUUUGUAAAUGUUAUUUUUUAAUUUUUUAAAAUUUAUUUAAAGACUAUUAUAGUUCAAUUUCUCACAUUUUUUGCUUUGUGUCACUUGGGUUCCUGGCAGUUUAAAUUGUUUUAAUUGAUAAAAUAAUUAGACAGACUUAUAGUUGAGUUUCUUCUGAAAAAAAGGAUGCCAUGUUUGUUGGGUAGUUUAAAAAUGAAUGCACAGAGACAGAAAGUAUUGGAUUUAUUUUACAUUUUAUCUGAGAAAAAAAAACAUUAAAUGAACCCCCUGAAGCUUAAGCUCAAUUAAAAGGCUGUUGUUAUUGUUCUGUCAAAAAAAAAUCAGUUAUCAGUAAAACUGAAAAAAAAAUUCUGACCAUUUUCUGACAUUUUCUGACCUUCAAAUUCAGCAUUAAACUUGAAAUAAAUAAUAAACAAAUAAACAUUUCUGCACAAACAUCUUCUGGCUGAAUGGAUGUGUUCUUCCUCUCUCUGUUGUUGAUAAUACAGCCUGUAACUUCAUAAUUAAACCAAUAAUAAAUAAAUCAACUUAGAACUGCAGUUCAGUUGAAUCCAACUCCUUUUAGUUUUAUAACAUCAUGUGAUGCUCCCAGCACGUACAUGACUGUGGUAAGACUGAAAAUCCUUUUGUGUCUGUUACAGAACAAAUCAGUGAUUGGUUCCUUAUUUAAUUACCACAUAAUUUAUGGCUGCAACUAACAAUGAUUUUUAUUAUAGAUUAAUCCUCUGAUUAUUAAAUCAUUUGGUCAGUUCGCUGUCAGAACAUAUUGAAGUUUCCCGUCACAAAGCCAGGUGUCUCGACUUGUUUGACCAGCAGUCCAAAGCUUUCAUACAAUAAAAGUACGGAAAACAAAACAACUUAAUUGAUUUUAUUCAACAGUCUGUGGAUGUUUUAUAACUAAUCAAUAAACUGUUGAUCAUUAACCUCCAGACUGAGUGCGAGUGCCGUGCUUUAAAACUAUUAACUGCUCAUCAUUUGUGGGUUGAGUGCGUUUCAUGACCCUCAGGCUGUAAAGCCUCACAGUUAAAUUUAAAAAUGUGUUUAUGAGUAAGAACAUGCAUUACCCCUGAAAGAUUUUCCCAAACACACUGUACCCUUGUAGGAAUAGUGAUUUUCUGUUUGUCCUGAGAUGAACUAAAAUUUCUGUCAAGCAAAAAAAAAAAGUUUUCAGCCUCUAAGUGAU